GCAGAGUCUCUUUACUCUUGAAGAGAGGACUUUGAAAGGACCUAAUACAAGUAUUUAGAGCACUGCACUGAGGGCCAGUUUGUGUGUCUGUUCCAGAGAAAAUUGGGACAGUCCGUCUUCCGCACUCCUGUCUUCAGGACCACCCCUAGAAUUGAGGGUUACUCCAAAGACCCUGGACUGUACAAAGAGCAGGACAGCGUGGUCCAGGAGCUCCGGUUCGAGGAGCAGGAGCAGCGUGCCGGGGACGGGAGCGGGACGGGCUCGCGGCCUGACGCGCGGUCCGAGGCAGCACGCCAGCGCCUCCUACAGGCACCAGACUGCGACGGCACCGCCCCCUAGUCCCGUCUCUCCAGGAGGCCCUGCUGGACGAGGAGUGCGCCUUCUACACGUCCUGCGGCCCCGCCCCCCCGCGCCCCGCCCCCAUCCGCCGCUGCGCCAACCCGCUGGCUCGCACCUUCGACUUCGAGGACUCGCUCCAGUUCGAGCCAAUCUCCUCGCCCUCAUCGGCUGAAGAGCAGAGUUUUAUGUAAAUUAUUCUAUGUUGAUGAAUAAAAAGAAGCUGUAUCAUGUCAAC
rnacentral:lncRNA from 1 species